UGAGAAGGAUCAAAGACUAACAACGCCACGUCCUGCGGCAACGUCUUUGU
rnacentral:sRNA from 1 species